GAUGAAGAACGUAGCGAAAUACGAUAAGUAAUGUGAAUUGCAGAAUUCAGUGAAUCAUCGAAUCUUUGAACGCACAUUGCGCCCCUUGGUAUUCCGAGGGGCAUGCCUGUUCGAGCGUCAUUAUAACCCCUCAAGCUCAGCUUGGUGUUGGGGCCUGCUGCACUGGCAGCCCUUAAAAUCAGUGGCGGCGCCAUCUGGCUCUAAGCGUAGUAAUUCUUCUCGCUAUGGAGUCCUGGUGGAUGCUUGCCAUCAACCCCCAAUUUUUCUAUGGUUGACCUCGGAUCAGGUAGGGAUACCCGCUGAACUUAAGCAUAUCAAUAAGCGGAGGA
rnacentral:misc_RNA from 1 species